GACAGCGUAGCUCAAUGUCUAGAUCCUAGGGCGAUGUCCUUGGGAUGCUGGUUCAAUUCCAGGCGUUGUCA